rnacentral:rRNA from 1 species
UGGGGAAUUUUGGACAAUGGGCGCAAGCCUGAUCCAGCCAUGCCGCGUGCGGGAAGAAGGCCUUCGGGUUGUAAACCGCUUUUGUCAGGGAAGAAAUCUUCUGAGUUAAUACCUCGGGAGGAUGACGGUACCUGAAGAGUAAGCACCGGCUAACUACGUGCCAGCAGCCGCGGUAAUACGUAGGGUGCAAGCGUUAAUCGGAAUUACUGGGCGUAAAGCGUGCGCAGGCGGUUUUGUAAGACAGAGGUGAAAUCCCCGGGCUCAACCUGGGAACUGCCUUUGUGACUGCAAGGCUUGAGUGCGGCAGAGGGGGGAUGGAAUUCCGCGUGUAGCAGUGAGAUGCGUAGAUAUGCGGAGGAACACCGAUGGCGAAGGCAAUCCCCUGGGCCUGCACUGACGCUCAUGCACGAAAGCGUGGGGAGCAAAACAGGAUUAGAUACCCCUGGUAGUCCACGCCCUAAACGAUGUCAACUGGUUGUUGGGAAGGUUCCUUCUCAGUAACGUAGCUAACGCGUGAAGUUGACCGCCUGGGGAGUACGGCCGCAAGGUUGAAACUUAAAUGAAUUGACGGGGUCAUAGCUGUUUCCUG